UACGGAGGAUGCAAGCGUUAUCCGGAAUGAUUGGGCGUAAAGCGUCCGCAGGUGGCAAUGUAAGUCUGCUGUUAAAGAGUCUAGCUCAACUAGAUAAAAGCAGUGGAAACUACAUAGCUAGAGUACGUUCGGGGCAGAGGGAAUUCCUGGUGUAGCGGUGAAAUGUGUAGAGAUCAGGAAGAACACCAGUGGCGAAGGCGCUCUGCUAGGCCGUAACUGACACUGAGGGACGAAAGCUAGGGGAGCGAAUGGG
rnacentral:rRNA from 1 species